AGGCGGGCACAGCGGCGAGGUUCUGCGCGGGUGCGGAAGACGGGCGGCGCGUGGCGGAAGGCAGGCUUGCUCCUCGGGGUGGGGGAGGGUAUCCGGCUUAACGGGGCUGCGGUGGACGCCACUUCUUAAUGUCGGGGGUCUUCGCGGCGCUCACCUCGGCUCCUGGGGUUCGGGACGGUACGCAGCAGACACCUUCGCGCCGAAGGCGGUAGGGCGCCACGGAAAGGAACCGCUGUAGGCACGUAAGGCCUCGUGAGGUUGCGUCGCGCGCGGAGCCCUCUGGGACUUGUAGUUCUGGAGAUGGAGCGAGCUGUGCCGCUCGUGGUGCCUCUGGGUCAGACAGAGGUGUUCCAGGCCUUGCAGCGGCUCCAUAUGACCAUCUUCUCCCAGAGCGUCUCACCAUGUGGGAAGUUUCUGGCGGCUGGCAACAAUUAUGGGCAGAUUGCCAUCUUCAGCUUGUCUGCUGCUUUGAGCUCAGAAGCCAAAGAGGAAAGUAAGAAACCGGUGGUGACUUUCCAAGGUGGGUAUAGCUGUGGAGUCUGGCUUCAGGACUUUGGGUGGGAUUGGCUCACUCAGUUCUGCAUUUCUCUUUAGCCCAUGAUGGGCCUGUCUAUAGCAUGGUUUCCACCGAUCGACAUCUGCUUAGUGCUGGGGAUGGGGAGGUGAAGGCCUGGCUUUGGGCGGAGAUGCUCAAGAAGGGCUGUAAGGAGCUGUGGCGUCGUCAGCCUCCAUACAGGUGAGCCAGGGCCACGUGGAUAGAGGGUGCAUCAGGGUGAAGCCACUUCCUCACUGACCUUGCCUUUCCUUCCCCAGGACCAGCCUGGAAGUGCCCGAGAUCAAUGCUUUGCUGCUGGUCCCCAAGGAGAAUUCCCUCAUCCUGGCUGGGGGAGACUGUCAGUUGCACACUAUGGACCUUGAAACUGGGACUUUCACGAGGGUCCUCCGGGGCCACACAGACUACAUCCAUUGCCUGGCACUGCGGGAAAGGAGCCCAGAGGUGCUGUCAGGUGGCGAGGACGGAGCUGUUCGACUUUGGG
rnacentral:sRNA from 1 species